rnacentral:rRNA from 1 species
AGGUUGAUAGGUUCGAGGUGGAAGCAUGGUGACAUGUGGAGCUGACGAAUACUAAUAGAUCGAGGACUUAACCAUAUAA